UACGUAGGGUGCAAGCGUUAAUCGGAAUUACUGGGCGUAAAGCGUGCGCAGGCGGCUAUGCAAGACAGAUGUGAAAUCCCCGGGCUCAACCUGGGAACUGCAUUUGUGACUGCAUGGCUAGAGUGCGGCAGAGGGGGAUGGAAUUCCGCGUGUAGCAGUGAAAUGACGUAGAUAUGCGGAGGAACACCGAUGGCGAAGGCAAUCCCCUGGGCCUGCACUGACGCUCAUGCACGAAAGCGUGGGGAGCAAACAGG
rnacentral:rRNA from 1 species